rnacentral:rRNA from 1 species
GAUGAACGCUGGCGGCGUGCCUAAUACAUGCAAGUCGAGCGAACAGACGAGGAGCUUGCUCCUCUGACGUUAGCGGCGGACGGGUGAGUAACACGUGGAUAACCUACCUAUAAGACUGGUAUAACUUCGGGAAACCGGAGCUAAUACCGGAUAAUAUAUUGAACCGCAUGGUUCAAUAGUGAAAGACGGUUUUGCUGUCACUUAUAGAUGGAUCCGCGCCGCAUUAGCUAGUUGGUAAGGUAACGGCUUACCAAGGCAACGAUGCGUAGCCGACCUGAGAGGGUGAUAGGCCACACGGGAGCUGAGACACGGUCCAGACUCCUACGAGAGGCAGCAGUAGGGAAUCUUCCGCAAUGGGCGAAAGCAUGACGGAGCAACGCCGCGUGAGUGAUGAAGGUCUUCGGAUCGUAAAACUCUGAUAUUAGGGAAGAACAAAUGUGUAAGUAACUAUGCACGUCUUGACGGUACCUAGUCAGAAAGCCACGGCUAACUACGUG